rnacentral:rRNA from 1 species
UACAGAGGUCCCGAGCGUUGUUCGGAUUCAUUGGGCGUAAAGGGUGCGUAGGCGGUCUGAUAAGUUUGGUGUGAAAGCCCUGGGCUUAACCUAGGAAUAGCAUUGGAUACUGUCAGACUAGAGACCGAGAGAGGGAAAUGGAAUUGCGAGUGUAGAGGUGAAAUUCGUAGAUAUUCGCAAGAACACCAGUGGCGAAGGCGAUUUCCUGGCUCGGUACUGACGCUAAGG